rnacentral:rRNA from 1 species
ACGCUUGUGGAAUGAGCGGCGGACGGGUGAGUAACACGUGGGCAACCUACCUUCGUAGACUGGGAUAACUCCGGGAAACCGGAGCUAAUACGGGAUGAUCAUUUGAAUCGCAUGAUUGAAAUGUAAAAGUGGGGAGUAAUCCUCACACUAUGAGAUGGGCCCGCGGCGCAUUAGCUAGUUGGUAAGGUAAUGGCUUACCAAGGCAACGAUGCGUAGCCGACCUGAGAGGGUGAUCGGCCACACUGGAACUGAGACACGGUCCAGACUCCUACGGGAGGCAGCAGUAGGGAAUCAUCCGCAAUGGGCGAAAGCCUGACGGUGCAACGCCGCGUGAACGAUGAAGGUUUUUCGGAUCGUAAAGUUCUGUUAUGAGGGAAGAACAAGUGCCGUUCGAAUAGGGCGGCACCUUGACGGUACCUCACGAGAAAGCCCCGGCUAACUACGUG